rnacentral:misc_RNA from 1 species
UAAUUUGAUAUUCUGAUUUUUUUCCUUCAUUGGAAGCUUUCAGUAAUAUUCUAUUUUACUGUGAACUGUAUUAUUACGAGAUGUUUGAGGGAUGCUUGCCGACUAUAAGGAUAGGUCGGCAGGAUGUUAACCGAGUCUUGAUCAAGCUUUCUUUUUAAGCUUGGUAUCCUAUUAUUAUUUACCAAAAGAAUUCAGUAUAAAAUAUUGUAACAUAGACCUAAAAAAUCUAUAAAAACAACUUUUAACAACGGAUCUCUUGGUUCU